AGUAAUGUGUGGCAUAGUCGUUUGAGCAUUGGACUAGGACUCUGGAGACCAGGGUUUGAAUCCCAGCUCAACUA